UACGUAGGGUGCAAGCGUUGUCCGGAAUUAUUGGGCGUAAAGAGCUCGUAGGCGGUCUGUCGCGUCGGCUGUGAAAACCCGGAGCUCAACUCCGGGCCUGCAGUCGAUACGGGCAGACUGGAGUUCGGCAGGGGAGACUGGAAUUCCUGGUGUAGCGGUGAAAUGCGCAGAUAUCAGGAGGAACACCGGUGGCGAAGGCGGGUCUCUGGGCCGAUACUGACGCUGAGGAGCGAAAGCUAGGGGAGCAAACGGG
rnacentral:rRNA from 1 species